CGAACAGAACAGUCGUCUCUCCAUCCCUUGCGUUGGCUCCACGUCACUCCACCUCCUUGGCUUCUCAUCUCCAAGAACACAGCAGGAACGCAGCGGCCAGAUUAUGGGCAGCCUGUUCCCCUUCCCCUUCCACUCCUUUUCCCAACAAAUUAGGCCUCCGCUGCUUCAUCUUUUUGGUUCGCCUAUCAAAUCUGGCACCGGUGCGAGUCGCCGCCUCCUGCGCCCACCAGUCCAUACCAAAUCGAUCACCACCCAUCGACGAGCCGAGUGGCACAAGCAGACGAGGAGACGGACUUGAUGUUGUUGCUGGCAUGAUCCUCCUGCCGUUCAACGCCGCGUGCCUCAUCGGCAAGCACGCAGUGCCGGUUGCAGAGCUGCAGCCGUUGAGCGAAGAGAAAGGAGUCCCGCUAAUGCUAGAUGUCGUCCGCCUCUCGGGAACGCCGUGGGGGAAGGGUGCUGUCCGCCGCCGCGGACCAUGCCGAGGAGCACCGUUGGAGAUUGGGACAACUUCAAUGUCCUUCUCGUAGUUGCAUUCAGACUAUUGGAUCUGCGAGGCAUCAGCAACAGCGUUGAAUAUGAAGAGGUAUGUAUCUUUUAUUUACUGAAUUAUUCUGCACAUAAUCCUGACAACUGAUCAGACCACUUCAAGAUGUUUUGGGCAUACCACCAUACACUGCGAUUUGUCCAUUUAGAUGCUUAUCCUCCAGCUCUGUCAGUACUCUUUGGUUCAUUGAAGAAGUAACACGAAACCCAUUAUAUCCGCCAAGUGUAGCGCGCACACUACCUUUACAAUUUGACAGUUUGGGUAUGUUAAUCAUGAAUGAAUCAGGCCUACAUCUUUUUGAUGAUGAUGUCGAACAGAUUGUGGACAAGCAGGGAGGCACACUUGAACGAAAAUGGGAGGAUAGAUCCUGAUGAAUGGAAAGUGUUCAGAAGUAAAAAAAAUCUCGCUGAAGCACCUGCGCUAGUUAUGACUCUCUCAUACCCAGAAUAAGGUCAUAACUAUGUCAUUCACUCUCAACCUGCGCUACAAAAUUAUUGGUAUAUGCGAUUUACGAUUUGGUCAGAGCCCAUCUGUUGCAAGUGUCGGAUGAUUUUCUGCUGAUGGCAAGGUUCUAGGACGAUUCGGUGGUUCUUACUGCAUAGUACUGUUGCUGCUCCCAUUAAUAUACAAGUAUUUGACGAGAAAAUUUCCUGCGGGGGGGCUCAAACGGGGCUGCUGGCACCCUAUACAUGCAUACAACAGUCACGCCCUGCCCUCCCUAUUUGAUCAUUUGGUUGGGUAAAUUUUGUUUCAUCCUUUGUUUAGCUUUUAAGUUCAAGCGACCUAAUUUACCAUUUUUAUAGUAUCAACAUGGAUGAGUUGAUUGGCUUA